rnacentral:rRNA from 1 species
UACAGAGGGGGCAAGCGUUAUUCGGAAUUGAUUGGGCGUAAAGGGCGCGAGUAGGCGGCAUUGGCAAGUGGAAGGUGAAAUCCCUCGGCUUAACCGAGGAACUGCCCUCCAAACUGCGUUGCUUGAGGUCCGGGAGGAGGUGAGUGGAAGUUCCCAGUGUAAGCGGUGAAAUGCGCAGAUAUCAGGAAGAACACCCGUGGCGAAGGCGGCUCUCUGGGACGGUGACUGACGCUGAGACGCGAAAGCGUGGGGGAGCGAACAGG